rnacentral:tRNA from 2 species
GCGCUCUUAGUUCAGCUCGGUAGAACGUGGGUCUCCAAAACCCGAUGUCGUAGGUUCAAGUCCUACAGAGCGUG